AAUUGCGUCAUAGCGUUCUAACAAUAUGGCUGCUCGUUGAAAAUUGGGGUUACAUCAAUUUACGCAAUAUUAGGACAGGUAUAGUAAUCAUAUAUCACCCUAAUUGCUUAGGGAGCAGCAAAUUUGAUAUCUUUAGAAUUCUUACUAUUUGCGUAAUUAUGCAUCAUAGAUAAGGUCUAGAAGUUAUUCAAAUUAAAACUUACGUAAUCAUAGCCUAUUUUAUUAGUUUUGUUAUCAGAAAUAUUUCACCAUCGCUUAGUCAUUGAACAUUGAAAAUGUUGAACGAAUAUUCCAAUUAUUAAUCCUCAAAAUAGGGAUAGAAUAAACUAAGCAUUAGGCCUAUUAUGAGUCAAGACGCAGAGUUACCAUCGGAUAAAACCUCGGAAAAGCAGGUUGCAGUUUACAUAAUGAAAUUGUUGAUAAGAAAUAUAGCAUUGGAAAAGAAAUUGUAUUCAUUAAAUUCUGACGGAAUAUUAGAAGACAUUACCCCCAAUGAAGCAUUAACUUAUUUACCAGACUCUAUAAAGCCAUAUCUAAUUCAUUAUUUAUUCGAAGAAAAUGGCCAGGAGAAAAAGCCCAAGCCAAGGGAUGAAAGAGAAAUGACUGGUUUAGAAUUAGAAGCGGCCGAAUGCUUAACUACUCUAUUGACUAGUAGGAUAAAUGAUCAAAAUCGCCAACAAUUGCAAACAAAGAUAAAAACUGAAACAAACAAUACUGAAACUAUUCUAUCUGUACCAAAACCUUCAACUUCUUCAGUAAAAUCAAGAGAAGGGACCAGUGACGGUGGAGAGGAAAACGAAAAUAUGCAGAGAAAAUACUUAGAUAGAAGAGCAAAAAACAAUUUCGCCGCAAGAAAAUGUCGAGAAAAGAAACGAAUGGAGAAUGCAAAAAGACAGCAGCAAAAUUCGAAUUUAGCCUAUGAAAAUGCAAAAUUAAAAGCUGAGUUACAGGUUCUAGAGGAUGAGUAUGAAUCUUUAAAAGACUUAAUACAGAAGAAGAGAUUGGCUAAAGAAAGAGGUGAAGAAUUUCAUUUACCACCCCCAAUUGCCGAACAGUAUUCGGAAUGGAAGAAACAAAAUGAGGAAAUUAAUAUGGGAAAAUCAAAAGAAAGUAUUGCUAGCUCAGAUAACAGUGCUUAUGACAGCUCAGACGAAGAUGGCAAAUUGGUUGUUGAUACAUCAUAAAAUAUUGGAUAAUUUAAUUUUGUAUCCUUUCUCAAACUGCCCUCAGCCAUCUCUAUUAUGAGUACUUUGUUUUUUUCGGAAAGCAUAAAAAAGUGUGCUUAUUUUUCUAUUGUAAAAAGAGUGAAAAUAUAACUUCUUUAUAUGUAAUUUACUACUCUUCUAUACUUAAUCAUAUAUAUGCCGGCAAAGGUAUAUAGGUAUAUAAGUAUUGUAUAUUGUUAAGUGAGGUUAACAUUUUAUAAAUAAUCUUUUUCUGUCUAAAAUAUAAUGAAAAAAGAAAAGAUAAAAUUGCUUCUUUUUUUUUGUCCGUAAUUUGAGAGGAAAAGAGAAAACAAUAUCUUAAGCUAUUCAACAAUGAGUUGUUAAUUCAGCACCGUCUCUUUCUUUAGUCCUUAGUAAAGUACCAUCAAGAUCGUUAGACCUUCUACGUAAAAAACAACAAGCGAAUCCAAAAGACGUUAGAAGUACGCCCAGUAUUGCUGAGCAACCACCCAUAAUCCUCCAGAUUAAUAACGGACUGCCAACAGCAACAAGAAGGCUGACAAGACCCAAUAUAGUCAACAUAGCUCCGAAGGAUAUUUGAACAAUUGGUAUCCGAUAGAUGGCACAGCAUUUCAAACGUUUAAUCGAACGUCCACCUUGGCCUCCUGCACUUCUAAUAGGAGAGGCUCGCCUCCUGCCAGGUUUUCCAAGGCUUGAAAAGACUAUUUUGUUGCUACUCAUUAAAUUUAAGUAGGCUGGUCAAAUACCAACGGUCUCCUUAAUUAACCGUUGUAUAAUUAUGGAAAAUAAGUGUUUGUACAAGGCCAAUUUACUUCUGUUAUAAAAUGCUUAAGGCUCUUUUAAAGGGAACUGAGAGAAGCUGAAACUCAAAAAUACAUGUGUUAUCGAUUAUCGUAGAAUAUAUACUUUUAUUUAAUGCAUACGAAAAGAAAAUGACAAAUAUUUUAAGCCUAUUAAAGGGUCUAAGCUGAGCAGAGAGAAUUAUUGUCAAUACCAUGAAAUUAUUUUUGCUAACGGAUACGGGAUAAAACCUUCGAUGGAUGUAACUGAUUCUUUUAGUCAAUGAUAGACAUACCAACACAUAAUGAUAUAUUUCCUUUAUCGGCGUAUCUCACUCCUAACUACCGGAUGAUAGGGUUAUAAUUGAAAGUUUACACGAAUAUUUUAGUCAAUAUGAGUUUUGUAUAAUUGGAAAUAUAUAAAUAAAAAAGCAUAAAAUCUCUUCCUAAAAAGAGAUACGUGAGAAAGAAAGUGGAAUUUAAUUUUCGCUGUAUUUCGAUCACGAUUGCGUAAUAGCUAUUUUCCUCAAACUCCAUCCUCAUAUAGUUGACCGGGAUAAAAGAAACAAUCAAUUCCUUGUUAUUUGACUAAAGGUACGACAAUUUAUAUAAAUGGGCCUAUUUUGGCGUACAAAUUUUCUCUUAGAAAAAAAGGGCAUAGACAACAUACUGCUAUCUUUCUAAAAAGAGGAAAUAGUAAAGAUCGGAAAACGGAGAAAAUGAUUGCGAUAUUUUGAAAUAUCUCGUCACUCGAAAAGAUGCAUAGCACUAAUAAAAAAUACGUACUUCGAAUAAAAAAUAACAAUUCUCCUAGCCGGAUUGCCAACCGCGACUAACUGAGUAAAGAGAUGCUCACAAGACGGCGUGUUUUCUCUGAACGGAUUAGCGUUCGUAGUUUAUCCAAACUCUUUUGUCGUAAAAAGUAGAAGAAAAACAAACUUAUUCCCGGGAUAGUAGAGCGUCAUUGUUCUUGCAGUCUAUCUUACAGCAUCUAAAGCGACGCCUAGUUAUAGAAUCUCUGCCGGAAGUGUAUAGGUUAUCUUUGUUAUAUGAAAUAUUUAUUCAAAUUGAGUGCGAUUUCAUUUUCAAUUGUUUUCUU
rnacentral:misc_RNA from 1 species